rnacentral:rRNA from 1 species
UACAGAGGUCCCGAGCGUUGUUCGGAUUCAUUGGGCGUAAAGGGUGCGUAGGCGGCUUUCUAAGUCCGGUGUGAAAUCCUGGGGCUCAACCCUGGAACUGCAUUGGAUACUGGGAGGCUAGAGUACUGGAGAGGAAACUGGAAUUUACGGUGUAGCAGUGAAAUGCGUAGAGAUCGUAAGGAAGACCAGUGGCGAAGGCGGGUCUCUGGACAGUUCCUGACGCUGAGGCACGAAGGCCAGGGGAGCAAACGGG